CCCAAUAGUUUAGGAAUUACGGGAUAGAAAAGGGGCCCAAAAUAAGCAUUUUUGUAGUUUUCAAACAAUUACUUGUGUUUAAGUGUAUGAAUCUCUCUGAAAUUACACCACAAGUUUUCAUACCAUGAAGUGAUGGUUAGUAUUGGCUUUGGGGGGUUAUGGCUCAAAAUGUUUUGGGAUUAGGGGCAAAAAAAGGGGGAAAACUAGGU
rnacentral:lncRNA from 1 species